CUGUGAAGUCUACUUGGGCUGACUGAUCCUUCCACUGAAGGCCCCCAUUUCUUUUAAGGUGGCCUCCUGUACUCAACUCUGUCCCCUUCUAAGUUUGGGGUAGCCACGACCUCCCCUAUUCCCUUUGGCUCUAGGGUGAUAACAGCUCCUGCUUCUUGUACUAUCCCUGUGGUUCUCCUACCCCCACAUCUUUGUUGAUGGCCCCUUUGUAAAUGAAUACUUCUCAAACCAUCUUAACUGCUUCCUGUUGGGACCCAACCUGAUCUAAGUGCCACGUGGCUUUAGUUGAAGAAAAUGAAGUCAGGCUAUCUCCAAGAAGAUGAGAUUUGAGGCUGGGGAUAUCUGGACGUUUUGAGAGGCUUUAAGGAGCUCUUCAGAACCUGACCUCAUGAACCUCUUUAUGUGCCAGGAGGGACCAGGAGCCUGCAGUUGUCUGGAACAUCAGGUUAUGACAGCCACCAAGUUCUCUUCUUCAUGAGCCUACUUGGGGCCCCUUUCCAAAGAUCCUGCCCCCUGGCCUCCACUGAAGGGGCUGGAGGCACAAGACCUUCCCCAUGGCCACAGCCGAUUGGAUAAGGGAUGGGCACCUGACCUGGCUGGACCAAUCAGAUGCUGUCCCAGGAAUGUGGCCAUAGGGCAUCUUUGCAUUUCUAGGCACACCUUGUGGGCUGCUUGAACUAAGAGGACACUUUGUGCCAGGCACAGCUCUGGGCACAAGGAAGACACAGGUGAACAGACCAGGGAGGGCCAUCAGAGACAGCCAUUUUCUACCAUGUGCAUACAGUAGCAGAAAAGGCUCUGAGAUAAAAAAAAAGAAGCAAGCUCAGAGAAAGGCAGGAAGCAGAGACUUCAAAGCACCAGAAAGAGAGAGGAGUGAAGGAAAGUACAUAGCUGCCAAAGUUCCUGCUGGCUCCCCAGUUGCUGGUGCCAGUCCCCAGAGGCCGGCUACACUUCCUGUCCUUGAAUCUCUGAUAUUGCCUCAUGUUAUUCCCAUAAAUUCUCCCUUUUUACUUAAGCUUGUGCAAGUGGGUUUCUGUUUUGCACUGCUAGACCAUCCCUGCCCGAGGUGCACCACGUGGUACAAUUAGCUCACAGUCCCUAAGGGGCAGUUUAUCCUUUUUUCAGACUCUCUGCCAUAAAUUUUGAAUCUCCACCUGGCUUCCCCUUGCCAACUAGUGAGUGUCCUUCUGCGUUAACUUUUGUUCUUGCAGGCCACCAAGGAGCUCGUGUCACCAGAUCUGAUGGCCUUUUCAUACCACAUGCUCCUUGUCCUCUCAUUGCCCCACGUGGCUGACCACUCCUUUCUUCCUCACUCUCCCCCCAUAUGGCUGCCAUGUCACCCCUCUCUCCUUCUCUUCCUCCCUGUCCUCCAGCUCUUCAUUUGUCAGCUUGUCUAGCUUUCCUGGUGACUCAAGCUCCCCACUAUGUUCACUACUUAAGCUUCUCUGUAGCAUUCUUUCUGGUUCUCUCAGCAACCUCCUCCCGCACUGUGGCUUCCAUCAUCACCUCUCUCCAGACACAAGCUUGCACCUCGGUUUGGACCUCCCAGGUCCCCAUUCCCAUCUAGCUGCUGGAAGCAUCUAUGUGGGUGCCCCCUGAUCCCUCAAGCUUUGUGCAUCCCAAAGUGUGCCCUCCCAAGCCUGAGCCUCCUUCUAGAUUGGUUAAUGAGGCAAAAAAUUUCUGUGCCCUUCAUCCAUGGCUCUCAGAGCUGGGGAAUUCUGGCAGGGAAUUUUGGCCGUGCUCCUCAUCCCUCUGCCAGGAAAUACCCACCUUGGACCUCACUCAAAUCGUGAUUCCAAUUUCCUUGACUUUCUCCUUGCUGCUCAUAUUAGAAUGAGUCACAUGAGAUCUUUGAUGCUAACGUGCUCCCUGUCUAUCAUGGUGAGCCUCACUGGUCAAACCCAAGGAUGUUGAAGGAAGCCCCAUGUGACCUGUGUGCCAUCCAUGGAAAGGCUGGAAGCCUUCAGCUCCUUAGACAGGUUGUUCUGAGGGUCUUUUCUCCCUUAGAGGGAUUUCAUUCUCUCAUGGGCAUCAGUUAGAGACUUUCCAUUCAGCAACCAAGGGGAACAAGGGGAGCAAGUGCCAGGCUGUCAGGAUGCAGCUACAGGGCGCACAGGCUACAGGACUGUGAAAGAGCAGGAAGGUCCCACCCAGAUGCAGUCACCUAUCAAGUUAGCACAGGUGGAGCAUCACUGCCUUCACCUUGUUGUUAGAGAUCUUAGCUAGCAACUGAUGAGACCAUCCCCCCAACUGCACUGCCAAAGUACAGGACAAGGACCCAUUCAGAAGGAAGUGUUUUUCCUGGGGGUAUAGUAGUUAGGGAAACGCUGGCUGCUAUAACAGAUAAACCUCCAAGACUCAGUGGCUUACCACAACAAAAGAUUAUUUAUCACUGACAUAAAAUCCAGAGUGGGUGUUCCCAAAGGACAGGAGGCUCUUCUCUCUGGGAGUGAUUCAGAGUCUCAGGUUCCUUCCAUCUUGUAGCUUGCUGGACUCAUCUGUAUCAAGGUGUGGAAAGGGGGAGAGCACAUGGGAGGCUCUACGGGCCAGACCCGGAAGUUCCAUCCAUCUUUUCUAUUCACAUGCCACUAGCCAGAACAAGAUCACGUGGCCACACCUAAUUGCAAGGAAGGCUGAGAAAUGUAGUCCAGCAAAAUGGCUUUGGGAAGCAGCUUACUCAUUUCUUUUUCAGGGGCUAACACAUUGAUUACAGUGAACCACUGGGUGAAAACUCAUCAUCUGCUGCUGCAGAGAGAGAUUCUGAGGGACUAGGGCACAGAACAAGACUAUCUUGGGCCGGGUGUGGUAGCUCACACUUGUAACUCCAGCACUUUGUGAGGCCAAGGUGGAUGGAUUGCUUGAGCUCGGGAGUUCAAAACCAGCCUGGGUAACAUGGCAAAACCCUGUCUCUACAAAAAAAUACAAAAAUCAUCCGGGUGUGAUGGUGCACAUCUGUAGUCUCAGCUACUUGGGUGGGAGGCUGAGGCAGGAGGAUUGCUUGAGCCUGGGUUGUGGAGGUUGCAGUGAGCCGAGAUUGGAGAUAUGCUGCCCCAACCUAGAAACUACCAGAAGCUAGGAGACAGGCCUGGAACAAAUUCCUCCUUAGCACCUUCAGAGGAAGCAUGCCCCUGCUGACACCUUGAUCUUGGACUUUUAACCUCCAGAACUGUGAGAAAAUACAUUUCUGUUGUUUAAGCCACUCAGUUUGUGGUACUUUGUUGUGGCAGCCUUACAAAACUAAUCUGCUGUUGUUUUUUGUUUUUUACUUGAAAAUCAAAUU
rnacentral:lncRNA from 1 species